UGAUAUCAUAUAUAACUUCGGUGGACGCUGGACAAGGUGGACAGGGUCUUCAGAUUGUAUCCCCAUACAAAAUCCCGUCCUCAAUUCUACAAGCCACCUGACGAGGGAAGACUAAUUUCUGGUCUUGCGGCUGCGAAUAAUUUUGAGCUCGGAACACUGUGUUGUGGCUUGCCGUCUUUCUUUUUUCAGUUGUGGGGAGCUUUUACAGCUUUUGAUUUUUCUCGCAUCUCCAGGGAGCUGGAACAAACCCCUGUUUGUACCGACUCCCUUUUCAUCUUUCCCUGAUGAACGGCUUGUAUUCGGAAUAAAUCCAUCUCGUGUGAUGAUGGAAGGGGCCUGAUUUCCUGGAAAUAAUUCAGUGUUUGGGAGCAUGUUCAGGUUAAAGUUAUACUCCUCAUUACUUCCUCCGUCCAAAAAGUUUGUCUUAGAUUUAUCUAGAUACGGAUAUAUCUAGACAUGUUUUAGUGUUAAAUUAUUUUGUAUCUCUAGAUAAAUAAGACAAGCUUUUUGGGAUGGAGGUAAUAGUGUGUGUGGCUGUGGGAAGUGCGUCGGUGAACCCGGUAUAUAUGCCCAUGGGUUGAAGACGUGCCGACUCGUUUGUUUCUUUCAGAGAGUUCGUUCCGUGCAUCCCAUUGACAGCCGGCUAUGCUGUCAUCCAAUACGUUAGUCUUGUUAAGUGAGCAGUACUAGUUGGACUGGAAAACCACACGUGUGUUUUGUGUUUGUUCUCAAUUCCAUUUCUUCUGCUGAAGAAAAAAAGGAUAACUGAAGCGGAAGUCUCCUCUGGCCAAGCCGUUCUUUAUCUCCCCCCGCUGAUGGCUGCGCGCACGGCACUACCAAAUCCAACAUCGCUUUCAGCUCAAAAGAAAAAAGUCCAACAUCGCUUUCCUCGUCUCAUGGCACACCUACCCCUUUCAAGUUGAUUCUCAAAAAAAAAAAGAAGGGAAAAAUGCUUUCAAGCAAUCAUUCACUUCCCGGAUUUGUGGCCAAUGCCUUUUCCUCUUCCUCAUAAACAACGCAAUAUUCAGGCAUAUUCGAAAUGGCAGGAAUUUUCAGACCGAGGGUCACUUUUCUUUUUGAAAUAAUUUGAAGCUUUCUAAAAAAAAUCUGAUGACUAUUUUUAUGCCUUUCGAUAGAAUGUAUUUGAUUUUUAGGAUUGACUCUUUCCCCGGGUAUACUUGCACAUCUAGUUGGUAAGGAAGGCAUCUCCAUUCUGUCUGAUCUCAUUGAAGUUUUCCAUCGGCUUCCCUCGUCUUCAAUGGCCGAUCUCGACAACACAAGAACCCUGAUCUAUUUCUGUUGCACGGUUUAAUUUUCUUUAAUGUUGGGAUUGUGUGUUGUUGAUGGUGACCUUGCGUGUGCAAAUUAAAAAGUCCUACACUCUAUCUUCGCGCCCGGUGUAAGCGUCAUGGCGUUGUGGCUGCGAGCCUAUGAUGCUUCAGUCCCACCGAUCGUCCACUCUAAAUCAAGAGCUUUGGCAUGCGGUGCUUUGAUUUGGCCUGUCAUGACGGUACAAUGCUAGCCCCGUGUUUGUUCCUUUGUGCUCAUAAACCUCUUCUGUGAUAGUUGAGCGAUGGAUAGCGGUUCUAUAUUACAAGGGGCAUGUUCUCGACAAUAGUAUGUUCAACUAGAUUUCCGACCUAUGAAUUCAAGGGGCUCUUCAAAAGCGAUGAGAUUAGUCUAGCUAGUUUAACUUUGAUCUUUUGCGGGUUUUUUCACCAGAAAAAGAUGCAGAAGAGGGAGAUAUUGAUGGCUGACUUCAAGUUUGGUAAAAUUCAUUGUACCACAACGAGUUUCUACAUUACUCUGGUUUGUUUGGGGUCAUGCAAAUCAAAGAGCCCUAAACAAUUCAUGUUCAAAAGAACAUUUCGUGAAGAUGGCACGCAUAAAAUUACCACUACAAUCAAUGCCUAAUUUCUACAUUGUUGUAAUUUAUUUUAGAGUCUUAAUUAAAUAGCCAAAAACAACUCGUGCUUGAAGCACACAUAGUGCCAGUGGCAUAUGUAAAAUUAUCACCUCAGGAAGCAUGAUCCCAUCCGAUGACGAUGAUAAACUCAAUCUCACAACUUGUGAAGCCAUGUCUUGUACUAAGUAGGCAGUGUUCUCUUGCUGAACUCCCACCUUCCCUGAGAAGUUAUAUUCUUUUUGUCCGUGGUGGGUUCUAGCAGGUUUAAGCGCGCUAUGUGCAUUUAUAUGGAUGUUUGAUGUUGUCAGUUGUAGUGUUUGUCUGCCGACUGCUUUUUUUGCGGUUAAAACUUGUAUUACUCAUAGCAUCCAUACUACAAUCUUUGUUAGAUAGAUCAGCUACCUUUGGUGGUCCGGAGCCCAACUAAACAAUAGUUCCACUUUCAGUUCUAGCAAAACUAGCCAAAAAAUCACUCACGCAAUCCUGGCUACGAUUGAUGCAUGUGAGUAAUACAAAGUGGUACGGAGAGACAUCAAGUUCUUGAUCUCACCAACUAAGGAUGCACAUGAUGAUUUGUUAGUGCCCUUCUCAUUUACCAUGUUCACCGCUGAUAGUGAUUCCGUCUCCAAACAAAUAGAAAGACCAGUUCUUUAGUGGCAAUGGACAUUCCUUAGAUGCAAGCGCACAACUCGGCCUCUAAAACAUAGCUGCACGAGAAGAGGUCCCUACAAGAUAAAAAGAUGAUAGUGCCCAAGCUAUCCCUGAGGACCAUGCCUGUUGGAAAUACGCCCUAGAGGCAAUAAUAUUGUAUUAUUAUAUUUCAAUAUUCAUAAUUAACUGUUUAUAUCUCAUGCUGUAACUGCUACGAUCCUGGAAUAUGCGAUUCAAUGGAAAACUCAUAUGCAUGUGUGAAAUGAUAAACGGAUAAACUAAAGGUUCCUAGUCUCGCCUCUAAGACUAGCUCAAGUGUUGUUGGUGAUCAUGUUUUCUGGAUCUUAGGAUAUCGUUAACUGUAACGGUAGUCCUAAAGCAACAUGGAGAUUAUGACGUUGGAAGAACGGUCAUAUUGAAUCGAUCCAAACUUGUUUGUUAUGAAUUGAGAUAAUAUAGUCUGUAAUCAAUUGUAAUAACACGGAGUGUUAACAUGUGAUUUUGCUCCUUAAACCAUGAGAGUAUCGUAGUCACCUCUUACCGUACGAUGGGCUUUGGGGUUGCUCAAACGUCACCUGUAACAUGAUGGUCAUAACGACAACUUACAGGUUCAUCGGAAAGUUUGACAAGUGAUUAGAUAGCUCGAGAGUGGGAUUUGCUCCUCCGACAGUGGAGAGAUAUUCUUAGGGUUCUCUCAGUGUGACGACAUCCAUCAUCGUCUAGCUAGACACAGGUGAUUACGUCAAGGCGAUGCUAGAACAUGACAAUGAGAAAGAAGAACAAAACGGGCAACGAGGAUAUCAGUAUAGUGAGCAUGUGAUGACUCAGGAGGAUAUCGGUGCAUCCUGGGUUUUGUGAAGUAUCGCAAAGCAAAGGGAACAUCACAUGAUGAAAGUGCAACUAAUCCCCGGUUGGUUUUGGUAAUUAAUCACAACAUAUAUGGCAUUGAUGUAAUGCACAUUGAUAAUAUAUUUCAGAGAAGAAGACUAGUGGAUGUGUACCCCUCAACAUACAGAGGACAAAGUUUGGUAAAGCUUAAAGGAUCUACAUUUUUGGUUAAGUGAUCCAAGAUCACAUUGAGUCCAUAGGAAAAGCCAAUACUAUUAAAAGGGGAUGAGGUUUUGGUCAUGACUCAAUUGCUCAAGUGCUUAAUGAUAUUGCUCAAAACCCUCAAAUAAUUCUCCACUUCCAUCCUAUCCAAAACCCUAAAGUUGAUCUUGGUCCCACCGAAACACUACUAUCUGGACCAGCGAGAUUACCAUAUGCACUAUCACAUGCCAAACACUAAUACUUUGGUGCAACCGAAAUGGAUCUCGGUCUCACCAAGAUGGUCUGACCAAGUUUUUGUAAUGAAGUUGUUUCACUUCGAAAUCACCAAGAUGAACCAAUUGUAAUUUUUGGAAUGAGUUCUUGCCCUAGCCAUCGCACUUCGAUCCCACCGGUUUGGUAUGAUUGGUCUCACCACUACAAAAAAACACACUUCCGUGAUGAUACGUGUUUGUCACAGUAGGUCACGUUUUUUGUCAUGCAUGUACAUCCAUGACGAUUUUAUGACAGAAUCAAGAUAGUCAUACCUGUGCUGUCGUAGAAGUGUUCAAUGACAUUACCAAAAUUAUAAUCACGGAAGUGUCUACUUCCAUGACGAUAAAUCGCGCGUCACAGAAGUGCUUUCGUCAAGGGUGACCGACACGUGGCAUCCACCGUAACGGAACACCGUUAAGCUAUCGGGUCGGAUUUUGGAUCCGAUAACCCGUUAACAGCCCGAACCAAUGGGAAAUUUCCACGUGUAAAAUUCUGAUUGGCCGAAGGGAACACCUGUCAGCUCGUCAGUGGGCCAGAUGUCGCCCGUCCAUUGGAGAAGACAUGCCUAUGAUACGUCGACACGUGGCUGGGCCCAACAGAGGCCCAUAUAGGUUAAAAAGGCCGGCCCAGUCAAAGGCCCGUAGUACUUAAUCAGGUACUAGUGGGCCAGCCCAAUAACGGUCUGCUUAAUAAAGGCCCAUUUACGGCCCGAAGCCAGAUCUGGCCUGUUAAUUGUUCGCCCAAUAUUUGGGCCCAUUUACGGCCCGAAGCCAGAUCUGGCCCGUUAAUUGUUCGCCCAAUAUUGGGCCCAUUUGCGGCCCGAAGCCAGAUCUGGCCCGUUAAUUGUUCGCCGAAUAUUUGGGCCCAACUACAGCCCAGUGACUCUCGGCCUGUUAGAGGCCUGAUGUAGACAUGGGCCCAUUUCUGCCCGGUGUGACUUUCGGCCUGGGAAUGGCCCGUGCUGCCCAUGGGCCAUAUAUGGUCCGACGGGACAUCGGGCCCACUAACGGCCCAUGCUAAAGGUGGUAACAGUUAAGCCCAACGUGACUUUGGGCCUGUUAAAGGCCUGCCGCGUAAUUUGGCCCGUUGAUGCCUGUACUAAGCUUUCGGCCUAUUAAAGGCCCAUGAUAUCAGUGGGCCAACUAAGGCCCGAGACAUGUAGGGUUGGGCAUUCAGUUUAUAUGGUUAAUACGGUUCGGUUUAUUCGGUGUUUUAUAAUUUCAGUUUUGAAGAAAUGGAAACCGAAUUAAUCACACAAUAUUUAGAAACCGAACCAUAUUAACCAUAAUAUAUCGGUUCGGUUUAUUCGGUUAACCGAAAAACCAAAAUACAUGCACUCAUCAGUAUAUAUCACAAGAGCUAGCAACCUUAACAUCAGUCCGUACUUUAUUCGGUCAAGCAAACUAGUGAACAUAACUAAGUGUAAAAUCACAUGGGGCGUUACAUGUAUUAUGUACGGAAGAAUAUGUGUGAUGCGUGUAAACUAAGCAACUCAUGCACUAAUUGAUACACUAAUUGCUAGUUACUUCCAUAACCAAGCGCCGGGCAUGCAUACAUACUCCUACGAGUACUAGUUAGAUUGUGAGAUUAGAAACUCAUCUAGCGGCUGGCCUGACAUCUGCCACAACCAACAAGUAUUUGCCAGAGGACGCGCCCCCGCUGCACUUUCGAAAACAAGGUAUUGCAUGGGGUAUCGUAUAUAUCGGUUUUUUCGGUGUAUUCGGUUUUUGUACACUGGAAACCAAACAAAAACUAAACACCGAACAACCUUAAAAUUUCCCACCGAACAAAAAAUCGAAUCACCAAAUUAAUAGAUAAAUUGGUUAAUAUGGUUCGGUUUGGUUCGGUUUUUCGGUUUUCGGUUCAAAAGUGCCCACCCCUAGAGACAUGUUUCGGCCUGGUAAAGGCCCGUGAGCCAACUAGGCCCAAAAAGGCCCUGUCUACAUUUCGGCCGGCUGAAGGCCCGUCGACGACUAGUGAAAAUUGAGGCCCAACAUGCAUUUUGUCCUGCUAAAGGCCUGUGGUUUCAUCUCGGCCGUAACAGGCAACUACAAUAUUCAGCCUGUUAAUGGCCCAACGCUACCUGGGCCAAACUAAGCGCUGGGUCGACAAAAGGCCCAACUAAAAUAUAGGCCAGUGUAAUUUUGGGCCUGGCACAAUGUGUGAAGGCCCCAAUCAUUCGGGCCCAAGAAAGACGCAGGCCAGCCCAAUUGUGGCCCGCUAAAAACCAGGCCCGUUAGAGUCGAAUGUUUUGGCCUGGUCGACUACAUAUGAUUUUUUUCAGAUAGCAAAUGAUGGCAGUAACUAGUAGGAAUUAAGAACAAACCUACUCUAUACAAUAAAGAAAUUACGGCAUAGUAACUAAGAAUAAACCUACACUAUACAAUAAAGGAUUUAAGGUAUAUUACAUCCACUGGUCAUCAAAGUUCGCCACUAGUGAUCAUAAAGCGCAACGAAGAAGCAGAUUACAAAAACUGGGCACCAUUGGAGUGUAACAAAAUAAUACUGAACCGAUACCACUUCCAAGACAGUUCAAGAAAGGUUAGCCUUGCAGGGGAACUGCUGCGCAAGCUGCUGAGCAAGGCUGUGAGAUCGGCCUAGCAUGUCGGUCAUAGCUUCCAGGUGUAGCUGUUUAGCAAUGAGGUUCUCAUUGGUGUUCUCCGCAAUCUUUCUUAGAGAUAGGACUUCAAGUCAAAGUUGAGUUGCAGAAUGCCUUUCUGCUAGAACUUGGGAUUGAAGAAGUCGAACUGAUUCAGACAACGAAUUCUGUGAGCUUGUCUGACUGUUAGUCUCAAGUAACUUGAACACUGCAUCAAGACAAGACUUUGGGGUUGUCUCGCUAUCUUCAAGAUGUUUUGCCUUCUUUGCUGCAAUAUAUGUUGGGUUUGUCUCACAACCUUCAGCAGACUUGUGCAUGCCAUCAGGCAUAUCACCCUAAAACAAAGCAGAGAGAUGACAUGUUUUGCACGUGUAUAAACAAAGAUCAUAACUGUGCUGUCAAUUCCAUCCAAUUUCAAAUUACAAAAUAAAGAGUAAGUUCAAAAUAUCAAUAGCAUAAUUUUGCAUUGUUCAUAAUGCGGGGAGCUUCACCACACUACUGGAUUACCAUGUCAACAUAACAAGCAUAGAUGAAGGGCAAAGAAAAUCAUUGUAUCUAUUUUGGAUAAUGUGCGUGGCAUGUUGUUCAUAUCAUCAACCACAUCAGUAAGAUAAAACAGGAGAUGACAAGGUGCAAACGUGGGCUGCUUCACCACACACUGGAUUAUAGAUCCACAAAAACAAGCAUACAUAUAGGGAGUAUUAAGUAAUGUGCAUGGUAUGAAUAAGGAAUUUGGUUUUACAAGUAAAACUUAGACCUUACGGUUCUUGCGAACAUGCAUUUUGAUAGAAACAACAAACUAAACAGCAGUAAACGACAGGGAGUAUGAGCAAAUUAAAUAGUAGUUGAGGAUAAAUGCUUUAGAAGGACUGACUUACAUUAACAGUUAACAACGGCUUUAUAAUGCCCUUCUCCAUGUCAAGGGAAGGAUAACUCAUGAAUUUCAGCACAGAAUAUUCUUCAUAAGCAUUGCCUGGACUCUACAUUUUGUAGAGAGUAAUUAUAGAUAUAAUAAUACUGGAAGGGAUAGAGGAUAAUGAAGAUAAGAUGCAGAUUGAUGCUACAUAAUCAACUACCAAUCCCUGGAAGUACAAGCAUUACAGGACAAAAUGUACUGACAAGAGCAAUGGGCUACACUUCUGCACUGGCAUUGUCUGUGUAUUCUACUUGUUGGUAAGAUUAAAUAUAGAUUUGAUUUUUUCUAGUAAAUGGUGGGCGAGGGAGAUAAGAUGCAGAAUGCUACAAAAUGAACCAAUCCCUCUUCCCAUAAUACAAGAGUGUUUUGAACACUGGUGUACUGUACAAAACGUUCUUAUAUUAUGGGACAGAGGGAGUAGCUGUUAAUGUAAGUACAGUGAUAGACCACGUUCAGUCCUUACAAGAGGACUGCAGAGCUAAACCUCUUCAAAAGCAUUGGGUUGAUUCUAAAUUUAUGUAAGAGUCCAUACGGAUCUUAUAAUGUCCACCAAAUGGACGAUUACAAGGCUAACAUGUGCAGUGAUGCUACAUAAUCAAACAACUAUGAAAGUAAGUAUGGUCAUACAGGGCAAGAGAUACUCACAAGAGCAAUGCAGUGUGCAAUAUAGUUGCGAGAUUCUAUGGUCCCUUGAGAAUGAAUGUUCUUCUGCUAACAGUUUUCGUACAAGUGAAACAUUAAGGCAAAUGCAGAAAUGUAGUUCAAAUUGUGAUGUGAUAUCAUAGACAGUACCUUACGCUGCAGCCGAGACCAAUGUGUAACAAGAUUAUUCCAGUCACCGUCGGAUAAAUGUAGCAUCGGAGACUUUACAGAAAUUUCAUUCAGAGGCUUGCCAUCGAAGUGCGCUUGCCUCAGGUAGGAAAGAUACUUCAUCAAUGAGUGCUUGAAAAGCGCAACCAACCCUUGUUCAUCAUCACAAUCCAGUUUGCUCCUCGCCUAUUUAAAAGAAUGAAAUCUUGUGUCUUCUGUCAGCAGAAACAUAUGCAGUAAUGACCAUGAAUAACAUUAGUACAUUACUUACACGUAAGUUGCGGAGGAAGACUGGAAAUUGUUUUGUGUCUAUGGUAUAAUCUUUCCAUGAAGGAAAGAUGUGCACAAAGUUCCUGACAACAACAUAAACUUCGUCUUCUAAACUGGGAAGAAAUGGAACAGGGGUCCUAUUUGCUGCAAUUGGGGCUCUCUCUGGUUUGAAAAGGGAUUUGGCAACUGGAUUUGGUGUACUCUUUGCUGGAAUCGGGGUUUUUCGUCGUACAGCUAGUGCUAUGUCAACUGGCAUAAUCAUACUGUUUGCUGCAGUUGGGGUCUGCUGAGUUGGGGCAUCAGAAAUGACCAGUGUAGUAGGGCUAGAGUCUACUAGAGUUGGGGUGUUUUGUGGGUCAGGUGAUAUUGCAAUUACAUCUAAUGGGAUAUUUUAUUUAUCAGGUGCCACUACCUUUUCCAAAUACUUUGCUUGUGCUCCUCCAUGAUCAGCAAUCACCCUCUUCCUUUUGAACAUCUGAUACACAAGAACAACAUUUGAAUGGAUAAAUAUGGUAUGAUGACAGAUGGAAUAUGUACUGAAAAUGGAUAGGCAGGGCGUAUUCACAUACACGAUGUGUAAACUAAGCUAAUGGCAGUUCAACAAAGUAGAAGCAAUGCAAAGCAUCAGUUGCAAGAUAUGUGCGAGCAAUGUAACCUUGGAAAGUUAGAGCAAGUACCUUGAUGGGUGAAUAAGAUAGGGCAUCUUCCUCUGACUCCUCCACUAGGGAGCUACAUUGACUUAGGUCUCCCUCUGGCUCAGAUAAUCACUGUUAGGAUCAUAUUCUGAGCAUGAAUCUGUAGGUGGAGAGCGUUUGCAUUGCAUUGCAUACAGACUUGAUUUCAGUCCCUUAAUGCCAAGUUUGACAGCCAUGGCAUUGUUCUGCUUUAUUCUUUUCAUGCUCACAAGCUCAUAAUCAUUAUGAUGCUGUUCAGAAUCUGAGAUUCAUGGAAACAUAAAAAGUAGUCAGAUUAUCUAUGGAAUGCAUUGCGGAUUCAACUCAAAGAGUGUCUCCCUAUAAACCCCUGCAUAUGCAAAGCUCACCCCCAAUUGUGCUAACUAGACCACACACAGAACUACAAACCCCUUAUGUCUCUAUAAUAGGCAGGCACACAUUUCAAAACUGAAGUAGGAACAUUAGAAUCAUAUGAAAUUCGUAUUUGAACAAAUAAACUAAGCAAUUAUGAGUGGCAUAAUGUUUAGCUUCAAGGGUGGAGUGUUGGUAGUGCGACACAAAGCAAGUAGGCAGAUUGUAUUCCAUAUAAAAGAUCGAAACCUAUGUAAAAGCUGGAAAUGACACUUUCUUUCUAUACAAUGCAGUGUUCGUUGCCCACACAUGAUGGAAGAGAUCACUUAGAGAAAUACUAUUCACUCAUGUCUACGGUUCCAGUAUUUAGAAACAGGGUAGUCCACCCUAAAAGAAUAUUGACAACAAAUAUGACAAGGCAAGCAUAGAUGUAGUGAAUUAAUCAUUUACUUGUGAUCUUACUAGUGCAAGUAUGCAGAAUUGUAACUGCAGUAAGAGACCGUCCAAAAUCUAAAUGAAGAAGUUUGUCUAGCACUUAUUGUUUGCAACUAAUCGACAUGAAUAAUUGGAUAUUCUAUCGAAUGAGUAAGAAAGACAAGUAAAAUUGUCAACAAACCUGGCUUGCAGUAGUAAUCUGGGUCAAUGUCACUACGACCGACAAUCCAAAAUGACUAGUGUCUGUUCUGAGGGCCGGAAUUUUGAAAACCCUGUGAACUUUAGAGGUACUAAAGAUUACCAAAAUACAUCUGAACCAUUAAGUGUAGGUAGCAUUGAGAACACAACAAACCCUAAUAACAGUCUUGCCUAAUGAGUAAUGAAUCAAUUUGAAAAUGGCUGAUUAGGAGUGGCUGCUGAGUGUUGAGGACGUAUCUCAGGAUAAAUCGGGUUGGCUUGGUGGGUGUUGCACGCCUGAGCCCUGAACGGACUGGGAAGGUAGGCACGGCGGCGCGCCCGGGCAGCGGUGACGCUGUUGGGCGAGCGGCUCCUGGCCUCCUGUUAGUCUGGCGUCUCCUCCUAGAGUCAUGCCGUCCGGGGACGGCAAGUCGCCGGUGAGGCAGGCGGCUGGGGGCGAGUAGAGAUCGGAAGCGUGUAGCAGAACAUAGGGGAAUCGGGGCCUGGGACGACCCAAAAUUCCAGGGUGGGCCGGCCCACCAUGGGCACCCUGUAGAGAUACACACCCGAGCGGCGAACAUGCAUUUUCAAAACUAAUUUAGGAACAUUUAGCUGACCUUAAACAACUCUAUUUUAAUAAUAUCAGAUUCGUAUUUGAACAACUAAGCUUGUUUAGCUUGAUGGGUGGAGCAGUGUUAUUAUGACACGAAGCACGUAUUCUGAUCGUAUAGUGAUCAUAAAAGGGGGAAACUCUAAGCAUAUUUUUUUAGCAAAAGAGGGUUUCCCCUCCGAUUUCUAUUAAAUAAACCACCACGGAACCAACAUGAUCAAUUAAACCCUAAGCAUGAUCAAUUAAACCGUAUUAUGGCUGUGCCAUGGCAGAUUUGAAGCUGCAAACCGGAGAAAUGAUAUUUAGCAUCCAUUGUUUGCUUCGAACUAAGAACUAAAUUCUAAGAGCUGGAAAGAAAGUAGAGUAACCAAGUUAAGAUCUAUUUUCUGGUUGAGAUCAAAAAGUUGAGGAGAUAUGAAGUACCACCUCUCUUGCGGCGCCGUGUAGGCAUCAGGGGUGCGAUGGCUGUCGGUGGCGUUGAAGCAGAUCUGUGACGGUAGACGGGUGCAUCGGGGGAUAAGUCCCGUUGCGGUGGAAGAGAAGGUCGUGUGAGUGGCCCCGGCAAAGAGGACGACGACGCCGAUGAAGCGAGAGGACGUGAUGCAAGGCUAUUGGUCCGUCGCCAUGGAUGAGAAACGUCCAUAUCUAGUAGUGGAUGACGCGGUCUUGGUAGGCGCUCCGGCAUGGUGGAGGACGGUGGCGAUGGAUGUGGUGGAGUACGGCGAAGAUGGAUGGGGUGGCGGACGGAGGCUGGUGUGGGGAUGGGGUGUUCUAGUGCGGACGGUGUAUGAAUGGGAAAAUGGAGGGAGAGGUACGGGGAACCAUGUUUUUGGGAUGCGCCUGUCUGAAAUAUGGGAAAGUUACGAACCUAGCCCCCGUUUAAAAUUUGGACAUCUCGUCGGUUGGGGAUAGGAUGGUAAUAUCGCAUCUCGCCAAUAUUUGCCCAAAGCGAUUUCAGGUGAGGAGAGGGUGGUUGUCUCCCAUGGUUGGCGCCCACGGUGUAUGAACGGGGCUGACAGGUAGGGCGAUUGUGUCACGUCUGAGUGAAGUUACAAACCUGCCCCUAUUGAAAAUAUUUGCCUACAUCGAUUUUGGCCGAGUCGAGUUUGUUUUGCCGCCCAUCAUGUAUGAAUGGGGAAUGGAGGGAGAAAUAGAGGUCUUUCGGACGAGCUUGAAUCAAAUGUGUUUUGCCGCCCAUGUUUGACGCCCACCGUGUCGGAAUGGGCUCAGAGGCGGUUGUGUCACAUCUAAUUGAAGUUACUAACCUACCUCUAUUUAAAGCAGUGGAAAUCGGGCCGAUGGAUUGUCCGUGUAAUGGGUAGACAGUAAUUCCCAUCUCCCAAACACUUGGCUUCGGGCAGCCGAUGUGGGAGUGGACAUUUUGCCGCUUCUUUCGAAUUUUGGGACAAUAAGCAUCCAUGUUUACCCUGGCAACUAAAUUCGAGUCCAUUUUGUAUUCCUAUAUGAAUCUUUAUAAAUCAUUCUAUGUGUUUUUAUAUAUCUUCAAAAGGACGACAAAGAUGUAUUCCACUGUCAUAUAUGAAUAUGGUUUACAAAUGCCGAUACUCAAAUUUAGAAGCUAGAAUCCAGUUUAAGGUGAAUUCGAAUAUUUGGAACACUUCAUGUCCAACUCAAAUGUCACACGCAGCAUAAUGUGUACUCCCAUUUAGAUAUGUACACAAGCGAUGUAUCAAGAUUCAAAUACCGAGUCAAUCAACCAAGAAUGUACAGAACUAACAGACAUAUAAAAACUUAUAGAGUACAUGGAUCAAUAAUAUCAACUAACAUACAUAAGCCAGGCCGCUUUACUUUUUUCUACUACAACAACAUCCUUUUUUUAGCUAGCAUCUUGGCCCUUUCUGAUGCGUGCCACUUAUGGUCCAUCUAUACUUAUAUUAGUGCUGAAUGCACAUUCAGCCCGAUUGGCAUAUUUGUAGGUCUGCCACAGCAAUCCAAAUGAAAUGUCUCCGAGUCUUAUAAAUUAAUACAAACUUGUGCUCAAAUAAAAUUACAAACCAAAAACCAAAAACCAAAAAACAAUUAUUACAUGAUCUCUAAAACAAAUGGUUUGCUUGAUUACAUGAACAAACAACACAAAGGUUAUGCAACGAUGGAAAUAACAUUUCACCUAUUAUUUACCAAGUGGGAGUUUAAUUUCCUUUUUUCCUUCAGGACCUUAACAAUGUGGUCAGUCUCAGCUUGCUUCGUUUUGAAAUCCACCAAAUAUUUAAUGGUUGUCUUGAGUACUGCUUGUGAUUGUGCUGUUUGCUUCCUCAACAUGUCAACUUCAUCGCUAAGUGCAGAAGAAGAAUCUCUUUCUACCACUAGUUUAGCCUCUAGAGCAUCAACAGUUGACAAUUCAUAAUGCACGAUUGGGCCGGUGCCACUGCUGUGGGAUGAUGCAACGUCCAUGGGGACCUUGCUCUUUGAUCUUGGGCUAACCUGUUUUGCCAUUAAAGUUCUGAUUGGAUUCAGAAAAGUUGAAGUUAGCAAAACAUCUCAACUGGGAGUUAUAACAUCAAACCAGUUAAACAAGCAAGGAAUUAAAGAGUUCAAUUGGAUGCUGAAAAGUAGUUAUUAACAUCAUUGUAACCCGCUGUUGCAGCAGCAAAGCAGUUAAACAAACAAGUAGAUAUUUAAGUUAAGACAAAUAGGUAAUUCUUAACAGUAAGUAUCAAACACAUAGAUAGGCGCAGUCUACAAUAGGAUUAACAGGAUGUGGCAUUAUGCAAUCAGUAGCAAACUAAAUUAAGCCAAGCAACAUAAUUGAACAAUUUUACAAUAAGUGGCUAACUAAAAUUCCGAGAAGCAGGUAACCGAACUUAUGCUAGUUCUUUGUAUAGGCACAGUGCAACUUCUUUUUAUAUUACAAGGUUGUACGAAGGAGUCCAUGCCAACAAUUGCUCGGAUACGCAGUCCCAAUACUUCUUUCUUCCCACACUGCAUUGGUAAGUCGAAUGGUUAAUCUGGUAAGAUGGUGCGUCCUUGAUAUGUUAUAUGAGGACGUGUAGUCAGACUAGUUGUAGCCACACACAUCACACUGGCUUUUACUGUAUAUUUCAUGCGAUUACUUUUGGCAUAUCGAGAUGUAAGCAAUCUACAAUAGGAUGAAAAGACUGGCAUCCUUCACAUUAUUGGCAAACUCAGCUCAUAGAAACAAGCAAUUCAACCAUUCUAUGGGUAAAUCAAAAGCGCCACUGGAAUAUUUUUCACUACCCAAUCAUACACGCAAAAAGGGGCGACGCCACCAUAGGGGUUGGUAUGGGCGGCCGCCUUAGGUGGCUGGAAAGUGUGCACCUAGUUUGAGUCGUCCAGGUUGGCCCAGGCUAGUUUUGUUCAUCCCAACGCACGAGCAGGCAAUGUAAAAAAUGAAGAAAAAUGUUUCAUUUUGGAUGGGCCAAUAACAUAAGUGCAAGGCAGGCCCUAUAGCAGGCUCGCGGCCCCAACGGGCGCCUCCCAUAUCGAUCGACAGUAGGAAAAAUCCCAAUUCAUUCGCUCCAGCCUCCUGUCUGGUUUGCUCCUAACCUAGCCGUCGCUGGAUAGACCGACGCAGCACAUCCUCGCGCCCUCGUUAGAGGGCGGUCGCUAGGCUUCAAGCGAACGGAAGGACAAGAAGAUGGAGAUCCAACCCUAGGAGUAGCCUGCGUGGGAGGCAGCGGCGACAGCAUGGUGAAAGGAUCGAGAAGAGGUGUCUAGAGGGGGGCGGGGGGUGAUUAGACACUAAGUACCAAAAGUAGCAGUUUUUAACUUCUUUAAGUUUAAGUGGAGUUUUGACACAAGUUUAACACUCACAAUACAUAACAAGCAAGAAUGCAAAGAGUAUAUGAGCAGCAGAAAGUAAAGCAUGCAACUUGCAAGAAUGUAAAGGGAUGGGAUUGGAGUGUGCAAACACAAUUGGAGACACGGAUGUUUUUGUCGUGGUUCUGAUAGGUGGUGCUAUCAUACAUCCACGUUGAUGGAGACUUCAACCCACGAAGGGUAACGGUUGCGCGAGUCCACGGAGGGAUCCACCCAUGAAGGGUCCACGAAGAAGCAACCUUGUCUAUCCCACCAUGGCCAUCGCCCACGAAGGACUUGCCUCACUAGCGGUAGAUCUUCACGAAGUAGGCAAUCUCCUUGCCCUUACAAACUCCUUGGUUCAACUCCACAAUUUUGUCGGAGGCUCCCAAGUGACACCUAGCCAAUCUAGGAGACACCACUCUCCAAGAAGUAAUAAAUGGUGUGUUGAUGAUGAACUCCUUGCUCUUGUGCUUCAAAUGAUAGUCUCCCCAACACUCAACUCUCUCUCACAGGAUUUGGAUUUGGUGGAAAGAAGAUUUGAGUGAAAAGCAACUUGGGGAAGGCUAGAGAUCAAGAUUCAUAUGGUAGGAAUGGAAUAUCUUGGUCUCAACACAUGAGUAGGUGGUUCUCUCUCAGAAAAAUGUAUGCUGGAAGUGUAGGUUCGUUCUGAUGGCUCUCUCCAUGAAUGAAGAGUGGGUGGAGGGGUAUAUAUAGCCUCCACACAAAAUAUAACCGUUACACACAACUUGCCAAUCUCGGUGGGACCGAAUUGAGAAACUCGGUCGGACCGAUUCAACAAAUCUAGUGACGGUUAGGAUUUUUGGUGGGACUGACAUGCAACUUGGUAGGACCUAUAUGGUUAGGGUUAGGGCAUAACGUAAUCUCGGUGAGACCGAUUACACAAACUCGGUAGGACCGAUUUUGGUAAUAAGCUAACCAGAGAGUUGGUCAGGCAAACUCGGUGAGACCAAUUCACUCAUCUCGGUUGGACCGAAAUGUUACGAAGAGGAACAGGGAGUUUGCAUUGUAAUCUCGGUAGUACCGGUUACUCAAACUCGGUGAGACCGAUUUUGGUAAUGGACAUACCAUAGAGAGAUUACAAUCCCAUCUCGGUGAGACCGAGAUCCCUAUCGGUGAGACCGAUUUGCCUAGGGUUUGUGGCAGUGGCUAAGACAUCUGAACUCGGUGGCGCCGGAUAGAAAUAAUCGGUGGGGCCGAGUUUGACUUUUGGUUUAGGUCAUAUGUGGAUGUGAGAAAGUAGUUGAGGGCUUUGGAGCAUAUCACUAAGCACUUUGAGCAAGUAAGCCAUUAAGCAACACCUCAUCCCCUCUUGAUAGUAUUGGCUUUUCCUAUAGACUCAAUGUGAUCUUGGAUCACUAAAAUAUAAAAUGUAGUCUUGUGCUUGAAGCUUGAGCCAAUCCUUUGUCCUUAGCAUCUUGGAGGGGUUCCACAUCCUUUAGUCCAUGCCACUUCAUUGUUGAACUCAUCUGAAACAUACUAGGUAAAAGUGUUACUCCAACAAGAGAUAUGUUGACAUUAAUUACCAAAAUCACCCAGGGAGCACUUGUGCUUUCAAUCUCCCCCUUUUUGGUAAUUGAUGACAACAUACAUCAAAGCUUUAGAUAAAGAUGUAGAGAAUAAAAAGUAAAGCUUUGAAAAGACAUGUAACAAGCAUAGACUCCCCCUACAUGUAUGCAAUCAUGUGAAUAUGGAAUAUAGAAGCAUGUGAGAGCAUAACCAUGACAGAGUAGGCAAUGUGUUACAUGUAUCUUGGCUAUAUGCAUCAGAGCAAAAGAUGUGAAUGUGGGACACUACUAGGAAAAGGGCUAUAGAUGGGAUGGACACUAAUGGUGCACUGUACAUGUGGUGCGCCAUUACUAAAUACUAAUGGCGCACCAUGUGUUGGUGCGCCAUUAGUGUGCAAAUACUAAUGGCGCACCACAUCCCACGGUGCGCCAUUAGUAUUUUUUUAAAUUUUUUUAAAACUACUAAUGGCGCACCGNNNNNNNNNNNNNNNNNNNNNNNNNNNNNNNNNNNNNNNNNNNNNNNNNNNNNNNNNNNNNNNNNNNNNNNNNNNNNNNNNNNNNNNNNNNNNNNNNNNNNNNNNNNNNNNNNNNNNNNNNNNNNNNNNNNNNNNNNNNNNNNNNNNNNNNNNNNNNNNNNNNNNNNNNNNNNNNNNNNNNNNNNNNNNNNNNNNNNNNNNNNNNNNNNNNNNNNNNNNNNNNNNNNNNNNNNNNNNNNNNNNNNNNNNNNNNNNNNNNNNNNNNNNNNNNNNNNNNNNNNNNNNNNNNNNNNNNNNNNNNNNNNNNNNNNNNNNNNNNNNNNNNNNNNNNNNNNNNNNNNNNNNNNNNNUUCAAAAAAAUAAAAGAAAAUGAUAGAAAUGUUAAAAAAUAAAAGAAAAUAAGAUUCCCAUGUGAUAUGUGGUCUAGUUGUUAGCAAAAUUUACAAACAUGAAUUUUCGAUUUUUUUGCAAAAUCUCUCGAGAAUUUGUAAAAAUGGGCAUAACUUUUGCAUAUGAACUCGGAUGAAAAAGUUUUUUAUAUGAAAAAUCAUCUACUCGAAAAGUUACAUCCAAAUUUAACUGGGGGAACCCCGUUAAACAUUUUCAAAAUCCUCAAAAACCUAACAGAAAAAAGUUACGGGGCUUUUAAGAUCUGGAGAGGCAAAAAAAUUCAAACUUACUAAUGGCGCACCUGCCCAUGGUGCGCCAUUACUAUCUUCCCGCCUUCAAAAUUCAAAAUAAAUCAAAAAUAAAAAAAGUUACUAAUGGCGCACCUGCCCAUGGUGCGCCAUUAGAUCUUCUCGCCUUCAAAAUUCAAAAUAAAAAUAAAAUAAAAAAAAUAGUAAUGGCGCACCUGCCCACGGUGCGCCAUUACUAUGCCAUAUAUAUGGCUGGGCGUGUCCUCUCCUCCUUACCUCUUCAUUCUUCUCCUCCACUCCACCUCUCCUCCAGUCCUCCGCUCCAUCUUCCCUUCUCUCCUCCACCAUACUACCCUCCUCCUCUCCGGCGACCUCCUCCUCCUCCUCUCCGGCGACCUCCUCCUCCUCUCCGGCGACCUCCUCCUCCCUCCUCUCCUCUCCUCCCCUCCNNNNNNNNNNNNNNNNNNNNNNNNNNNNNNNNNNNNNNNNNNNNNNNNNNNNNNNNNNNNNNNNNNNNNNNNNNNNNNNNNNNNNNNNNNNNNNNNNNNNNNNNNNNNNNNNNNNNNNNNNNNNNNNNNNNNNNNNNNNNNNNNNNNNNNNNNNNNNNNNNNNNNNNNNNNNNNNNNNNNNNNNNNNNNNNNCUCCCUCCUAUCGGGUGAGCUCCUCCUCCCUCAUCUCCGGUGAGCUCCUCCUCCCUCCUCUUUGGUGAGCUCCUCCUCCCUCCUCUCCUCCCAUCCCCUCAUGGUUUCUCCUUCCUCCUCUCCGAUGCUCCGGUGAACUCCUCUCCGGUGAGCUCCUCCUCCCUCCUCUCCUCCCAUCCCCUCAUGGUUUCUCCUUCCUCCUCUCCGAUGCUCCGGUGAACUCCUCUUCGGCGACCUCCUCCUCCUCUCCGGCGAUGUAGGCGAGCGCCUCUGCGAUCACCUCCUCCUCCUCCUCUCCGGCGAACUCCUCUCCGGCAAAAGAACAUGGCAAAAGAACGUACAAGAUCCAAAAAUGGGAACAAAAUUUGAAAUAAUAUCAUGCAAAAAAACGAGCAAAAAAAAAAACAAGCAAAAAAUGGGCAAAAAAAUCGCGAUCCAGAUCCAAAUUCAAAAUUCAAAAAUAGCAAUGGCGCACGGUGGGGGUUAGACGGUGCGCCACUACUAUUUUCCCGCCUUCAAAAUUCAAAAAUACUAAUGGCGCACUGUGGCCUAUACUAAUGGCGCACCAGUGGCCUAUACUAAUGGCGCACCGUGACCUAUACUAAUGGCGCACCACUGGUGCGCCAUUAGUAUACCAGAUACUAAUGGUGCACCACUGGUGCGCCAUUAGGAAAAAAAUACUAGUGGCGUGAUACUAAUGGCGCACCAGUAGUGCGCCAUUAGUAGGCAAAACUGGUGCGCCAUUAGUAGGCCUUUUCCUAGUAGUGGGAAAUGUACCGUCAUGCUCAUGAGUCCUUCUUGCAAACAAUAUGUACAUCGGCAAGAAUUCCUCAUACACAUGAUUGUGAUGCAUAUACUUACCUUGUGGUCUUGAGUUGUCUUAGGAUGGAAUGAACCUGUGAAAAUAAGGUUAGAUAACACAUAUGCACUUACUAGCCAGAGCAAACAGAAAGAACCACAAGAGUACCAAGACUAGGAUGACAUGUAGAGAGUGAGUACUAAGUACCACAUUUGAUAUAGACAUGCCCCCAAAGGUAAAGAUGUGCAAUGAAUUUAAAGAAUUUAUUUCCCUUAGAUGUCUUGCUCCCCCUGAAUCUAGCAUGGGAUACUGGGAGAAGAUAGGGAACAGAAAAUCAGAGCUCAAAGAAACAAAUGAACAGAGCUAAUGCAAAUAAGCACAUAUGAACAUGUCUUUCCCCUCAAGAAGACACGUAGAAUCUCUCCUCUUGAACACCAAGCAUCUGGGAUCCUUGAAGAUUACUCUCUCCUUGAGUAUUCUCUCCCCCUAGAGAUAUGAUUAAGCUUUGAUGUGACCUCUCUCUCCCCCUUUGACAUCAAUUUCCAAGAAGGGUCUUCUGGAAUUUGUCGUGAAUGGGUUUGGUCCUUGAGUCACAGCACGAAGCACUAAGGUAAAUGUGAUGCUUGUAGAGGACAAGAUUCAUUGAGUGGAGCUGGAUCAAAAGGAAUGCAGAAACAAGUGGCAAGCUAUCUUUCCUGUAGUGAAAUCGGUGGCACCGAGUGGUAUGAUUCGGUUGCACCGAAAGAAUUCGGUUGGACCGAAAACAAGAGACCGGUGGGACCGAGUUCAUCAUAGAGAAAACACUUGCCACCUCAUCUCACUAGACAAGUAAGAUCUCACAAGGAUUUGCAAGGAAUUAUCUGAAAGAUUUGCAAUGAAUUGGAUGCAGGGAAUGCAGAACAAAUAGAAAAGAAAAGAAAUCUAGAUGAAGUUUUUUUAUUAAAAGGGGAAAACAAAUAUGCAUGAGAUAAAUGCAAGAGCACAGAAAAGAACACAAGAAAACUUCAUCUAGAAUUGGUCGGCGACAAAGUCACCUAUGUUAGAGUAUAUUGACUUAGGAGUCAAGUGAGAUCACUUGAUCAUAGGUCAUACUCAUCGUUUAAGCUCAAAAUGGGGUUACCAUUUUUCGUUUAAGCAUCUUGAUGUAUUCACAUAUUGUCGAGUUGCUUUGACUCAUGACUUGGAGUAAAGCUUCUCUAAGAUGGAAUAACAUACCUUGGGUGGUGGUGUUGAUCGUGAUCAUGUAGUGGAACUUAUGUGGGUUGCUCAAAGUUGAUGUAGCUCAUCAAGAGUUGGGAGCGCCACUUGGAAUUUGAGUUCAUCUACCUACAUGGGUUAGUUUUUGCAAGGAAGAGCACUUGUGUGUCCAAAAUGACAAUCAUGAAGUUCAAUAAUAAUUUUGUCAAAGGAUAUGUUUGAAUGGUUCCAUGCUUCCUUGUCUUCAACCACCGUUGUGUAGAGACUUGGUGAUGUAGAGAUUGCUCAAGAUGUGAGUGAGUUGAAAUCUCAUAGACUUAGAUUCAUCCAAGUACCUACAAGGGUUAGAUAACAUGCAAGGUGCAAAUAUAUCCAAGACAUAAGAUAGUCAUCAUAAGAGAAAUGUCAAGGAUUAGUCAUAGGCUCAUGCCUUGCAUGUAUCAAAUGAAGUUCCUACUCCAAGUUUGAGGCAUCAAUGAUGUUCAAUUCACCUCUUAACCUGCAGAACACUUUCUCAUCAAGUGGUUUAGUGAAAAUAUCCGCUAAUUGCUUUUCGGUGUGAACAUGCUUAAGAUUAAUGUCCCCUUUGGCAACAUGAUCUCGAAUGAAAUGAUGACGAACUUCAAUAUGCUUUGUUCGAUAAUGUUGCAUGGGAUUGUGAGCAAUCUUGAUAGAACUUUCAUUGUCACAAAGUAAUGGAACAUGUUUCACAUAUAUCCCAUAAUCUUUAAGAGUUUGGGUCAUCCAAAGUAAUUGAGCACAACAUGAACCAGCGACAAUGUAUUCCGCUUCGGCGGUGGACAAGGAUACCGAGUUUUGUUUCUUGGAGGACCAAGAUACAAGAGAUCUAUCAAGAAAUUGACAAGUACCCGAAGUGGACUUUCUAUCAACCUUGUCACCGGCAUAGUUCGAGUCGGAGUAGCCAACAAGAUCGAAAGAGGCCCUCUUUGGAUACCAAAUGCCAAAGUUUGGUGUAUGGAUUAAGUAUCUCACUAUCCUUUUCACGGCCUUAAGAUGACAUUCUUUAGGAGCAGCUUGAUAUCGUGCACACAUGCACACACUUAGCAUAAUAUCGGGAUGUGAAGCACAUAGAUAUAACAAUGAACCAAUCAUAGAGCGAUAAACCUUUUGAUUAACCGGUUCACCAUCUUUGGUCAAAUCAAGAUGUCCACUAGUAGGCAUGGGUGUAGUCAUACCUUUGAAUUCUUGCAUAUUGAACUUCUUGAAUAUGUUCUUGGUGUACUUCGUUUGAGAGACAAAGGUACCUUCCUUAGUUUGCUUGAUUUGCAAACCAAGAAAGAAUUGAGUUCACUCAUCAUCGACAUCUCAAACUUCUCUGACAUUAGCUUUCCAAACUUUUCAAUAAAGUGAGGGUUAGUAGAACCAAAUAUAAUAUCAUCAACAUAGAUUUGGCAUACAAAUAGUUCUCCAUUGACCCUCUUAGUAAAAAGAGUAGAAUCUAUUUUUCCAAUUUCAAAGCCUUUUUCAAUUAGGAACUUGGUCAAGCAUUUAUACCACGCUCUAGGAGCUUGUUUAAGACCAUAAAGAGCUUCGUGAAGUUUGUAAACAUGAUCAGGUUUCUUAGGAUUAACAAAGCCGGGAGGUUGCUUAACAUAUACUUCCUCCUCUAUUUCACCAUUUAGAAAAGCACUUUUAAUGUCCAUUUGGUACAAGGUGAUAUCAUGGUGAUUAGCAUAGGCAAGUAAGAUGAGAAUGGACUCAAGUCUAGCAACGGGAGCAUAAGUCUCACCAUAGUCCAUACCUUCGACUUGUGUGUAGCCUUGGGUGACGAGACGUGCUUUGUUGCGAACUACUUGUCCAUCUUCAUCUUGCUUGUUGCGAAACACCCAUUUGGUACCCAUGAUGUUGUGGUUGUUGUCGGGCUUCUCAACCAAUGUCCAAACUUGAUUUCUCUCAAAGUUGUGUAGCUCUUCAUGCAUAGCGUUUAUCCAAACCGGAUCUUCCAAUGCUUCUUCAACAUUCAUAGGUUCAAUGCUAGAGAUGAAUGAAUAGUGUUCACAAAAGUUAGCUAAAUGAGUUUUAGAGCGAGUUGUUCUCCCGGUUUGGAUACAUUGUAGAUUUGCUCGAUGGGAUGGUCUUUAGCAAUUCUUGCUCGAACUCGUGAAAGCUUUUGCUUGGGUCUUGGUUGAACAUCUUCUUCAUCUUAUUCUUCUUCUUGGCCUUCUUCAUUGUUGAUGUUGUCGUUCUCUUGUCGUGGUGGAGAAGGAGGUUGUUGGCGUUUGUCUUGGUGCACUUCCUCGUUUUCUUCAUCUUGGUGUGUCCCACUUGUGGAUGCUUCCGUAUCAACUCUUGGUUCACCUUGUCGUGAGGUAGAAGCUUCCACUUGGACGGAUGAGGUACUCUCCUUCACCUCCAUUGGACGAAUCUUGCCAAUAAACAAGUCUUGAAUUGCUUCCGAGGGGUCUUUGUCUCCUAGAUCAAUUGUCAAUUGCUCUACUUGCGAGCCAUUAGAUUCAUCAAACUUCACAUCUACCGUUUCUUCAACCUUUCGGGUGAAAUUGUUGUAGACACGGUAUGUGUGAGAGUUUGAGCCAUAACCAAGUAGGAAACCUUCAUGAGACUUAGGAGCAAAUUUAGAACGACGAUGAUUAUCAAGAAUGUAGCACUUUGAGCCGAAUACUCGAAAGUAUCCAACUUGGGGUUUGUUACCGGUGAGAAGCUCGUAUGCCGUCUUGCCAAGUAGCUUGUGAAGAUACAAGCGAUUUGUUGCAUGACAAUCUAUCUCAACCGCUUCCGGCCAAAAGUGCUUCGGCGUCUUGUACUCAUCAAGCAUCGUUCUUGCCAUUUCGAUGAGCAUCCGGUUCUUCCUAUCAACAACUCCAUUUUGUUGAGGUGUGUACGUAGCCGAGAACUCAUGUGAAAUCCCUUCUUCAUCAAGAAAGGUGUCCACAUUUGUGUUCUUGAACUCCGUUCCAUUGUCGCUGCGAACCUUCUUGAUCUUCACUUCAAAUUGAUUCUGGGCCUUCCUAGCGAAGUUUUUGAAGAUCUUUUGGACCUGCGAUUUGUCAUCGAGAAAGAACACCCACGUAAAUCUUGAAAAAUCAUCAACUAUAACUAGACCAAAAGAAUUUCCACCAAGACUUCUGUAGGCGUUGGGACCAAAAAGAUCCAUGCGAAGUAGCUCGAGUGGCCUCCUUGUGGUCAUGAUGUUUUUCACAGGAUGCCUCCCUCCAACCUGUUUACCUGCUUGACAAGUGCUGCAAAGUCUAUCCUUAUCAAAUAUGACAUCUUUAACACCAAGGAUAUGAUUUCCUUUAAUAAGCUUGUCAAGGAUUCGCAUGCCAACAUGACCCAAUCGUCUAUGCCAUAACCAACCUUUAGAAGAUUUAGCAAUAAAUCAAGUUCUAGGUUGAGCCUUUUUAGUGAAAUCAAUAGUGUAUAGAUCACCUCUACAUACACCGGCAAAGACCAUUUUAUGAUUAUCUCUAUGAAACACUUGGCAAUCUACUUCAGUAAAUAGGACAUUGAAACCGAAAUCAGCAAGUCUAGAUACUGAAAGUAAGUUGUAGCCAAGAGAUUCAAUGAGCAUGACAUUUUGUAUGGAGCUAUCAUGGGAUAUGGCCACCUUACCGAGGCCAACUACCUUACCCUUUGAGUUAUCACCAAAAGUGACAUACUUUCGAGGACCAUCGUUUUCAGCAAGCUCACGAAACAUAUCUUUAUCUCCGGUCAUGUGAUCGGUACAUCCACUAUCAAGAACCCAUUCCUUUCCUCCUGCCAUAUAUCCCCGAAGAUUUGCCAUAAGACCAAAGUGUCUCAUUGCAUCAUCAAGAUCAAAGUCACUAUCAUCAUCCCCGCCAUAGUAUCCAUGUUCAACAUCGUCAUGUGGUGGAUCAAAUCCUAGAGAGGGUGAUUCGUUAGAGUGAGUUUGACAAUGAUCUUCUUUAUGAAUUUUAAUAGCUUUGGAAAUAAUAUCGCUAAUGAUUCCAACAUUCCCUUUGGCACGCAUAAGGUUUGUAAGCUCAAAUAGACAAUCACCAAACAUAGGAUCACUGGAAUUCAUCUUACUCAAGGCAAUAGACUUAUGGAUAAUUUCAUCUAGAUUUUUCAAGGAAUAAUUUGGAAAACGUUCCUCAAGAAAUUUCCAUAUGGUGUAAGCACACUUAAGAGUAGGCAAACAUCCAAUCAAGUUUCUAGACAAAGCCUCUAGUGAUAAGUUCAACAGUUCUAAGAUUGUGAAUCAUGUCAAUUGACUCAUCAAGGGUAGGAUGCAUAGGAUCAACAUGAGGUGCACAAGGGCUAGCAAUAUACGACGAUCGAUAUAAAAUAAAUGGAAAGGAUAAAUGUUCGGAUUUUAAGCAUGGCAAUCCAAACGUUUUUCAUGGCAAAUUUAGAUUACGCAGUGGCGGCGGGGGCGUCUUGCAGUGGGAAGUGGCUCCUCUGCCGUCCUCUGUGUGUCGUCGGGCCACUGACCAACGGCGACGGCGGCGUCUUGCAUCAUUGUUGGCGUACUCCUGGACGUUGGCCUAGAUUCAAGGAAGGCCAAAAUGUUCUGGACUUCGGAGCGAGUCAACUGGCGGGAGGAGGCGACUGGUGUUGGUGCAAGGAAGCGGUCGACGACGGCCAUCCAUGCCACCGAGGGGGCACUGGCACCCGCGCGGGGAUAGGCACUGUCAAUGACACGGCGGAGACAUUGGUGUGCACGAGCACCGGCACGGGCAUGCAUGUCAGUGCACGCGCAGGCGCAAGCGCUGGCAGGUGCACGGGAACCGGCACGGGCGUGCGAGUCAGUGCACACGCAGGCGCAUGCGUUGGAAGGUGCACGGGCGCGUGAAAGUCGGCAGGGACCUCAUGGAACCCUGUGGGAUCAAGGUCGGUGACAAUGUGCGGCUCCCAGCCCAUCAAUGCCACAGGGAUGGGCUCUGGUGCAGUCGGGGCGACGGGAGCCGGAACGGGAGCGGGGACAGGCGCGGUGUCUUCCCGCAAAGCCAGUUCAAGCUCGUCCCAAAGCGCCUUAUGUUCUUGAGACUCCGGCUGGGUGUCUUCCUCAGGAAACUAGAACACUAAGGGCAGACCAUCAUGAUGCGGCAUGGCAUACGUUUAGGUCAGGCUAGUUGGAGGUAGAAGACAGGAGAAUCAGAGAGGAAGAGAGAAGAUUGUUGCGAUACCGAGUAGUGCGGGGUUGAUUUUAAACUGUGGUGCCGGCGACAUUAAAAGUGGGAGCAGUUGGGACAAAGGUGGGCGGCGGAGCCUGGUCAAAGGGCUCGCCUCCCGGUGAGCCUGCACAUCGGUCUGCUUGCACGCCUCCCUGUCAGCCAGCGCAGCGGUCUGCUCGCACGCUUCCCGUCGACUCACACGCUUGCUCGGACGGCACCUGCCGAUGAGAAGCGGGGACUCAUGGCGGCACAUAAACGCCCACGGUUUCAAUAGUGAAAGCGUUCGCCUUAACGUGAUAGGUCUUUGUUCCAAAUACCUUGGCUCUUCAUUUGUGCAACUUGUCAUAAUCAGCUUGUCUCAAAUUGAAAAAAAACUUAUGAAGUAAUAUUUGUGCCAUAUCACGUGACCAUGCUCAGUUUCAAGAAUUUAUGCUCACUUUUGGAUUUUCUGAAAUUUAAGAUCCAGGAUUCGAAACAAUAUCAUAACCUACAUCAUGCAAUAAAUUUUCAAGCCGUACAUCUGUCCUGUUGUAUUUCGUAAGAAAGGAUUUGGGUAAACAUUUUGCUUAGUUAGACUUCAGACAAGUUAUAUAUGCAGAGUAAAAGGACAAUCCCUCCGUACCAGUGCAUUGCCUGAUAUAUUAACUCAAGUACUAGGCAUGAACAAAUGGGCUCAAUUCUGUGCUCAUACUGGUGUAGUAGUAGUAGUACUAGGCAAUGCAGUUGACGGGUGACCUUGAUGAGCGGCGACCGAGGGAAUUGAACCGUGCUCGGCACGGUAGGUAACAUUGUCUAGUUACUAAAGCAUCCCUCCGUUGUUCAUCGGUAGUCAUUAUGGACCGGGGACAUGAGGGGAAUUUCCUAGGGCUGGAAUUCUAGCCGCUAGAUAUUUUUACUUGAAACGCUAAGGCUCGACUGGUUGGGGUUGCCUAAUGUGCGUACCACGCAUGCCACCGAAGGACACGAGCCCGGUUUUUUUAUUUUUUUUAUUUUUUUAGGAUCAACACGAGCCAAGGUCUGGCUGGUACGCCGUUGGGUCCUACCAUUCGAGAAUACGAAAGGAACCUUUUAAAUUGCUGAACGAAUCUAUGUGUAUUACAAUACCCGCAUUUUCCUUGCAAAUACUAAUCUCAACGUGGUAAUUGAUUUAUGACGAGUUGUUGAAUUAGAGUGAGAUUGUGAUAUAGUGAUCUCAACGUGGAUUUCACAUUUCAUGGUAUCCCUAGUAAGUUUUCCAAUGCAAAUUCAAAUUUAAAAGAUGAACAAUAUGGAGGUGAGAAAACUUUGUAUGUAUCAAGCAUAUGACCACACACACACACACACACACACACACACAUGCACACACGCACGAACACAACAACAAUCCAAUUAGUGCAUCUAUUUUUCCAAACCAUGCAUGUAUGACACGAAUUCAAAAAUACUCCUUCUAUUCCUAAAUAUUAGUCUUUUAGAGAGUUUAACACGUGACUACAUACAGAGAAAAAUGAGUGAAUCUAGACUCUAAAAUAUGUCUAUAUACAUCCAUAUGUGCCAGUCCAUUUGAAACCUCUAAAAAGACUAAUAUUUAGGAACGAAGGGAGUAAAAUGUAAGACAUGCAUGGUCCUCAGUUCAAUAUUUAAAAUGAACAUGAAACUGAAACAUGAAUAUUAAGUCUAGUACUAUAGUACAUGCAAAUGUUGUGUUUAGGCGGAGCUAUGAUUGUCGGGGGUCAACCCCUCGACCUUAGAUAAAAUUGUGGACCUCUGUUUAGGGUUGUUUAGAUUAUAUUUGUCCCCACCCUCCCAACCACCGAUUGGUUGUGCACCCCCACCCCUCCUCCUCGAGAGAAUAUCAUGUGCCCCUAUACCUUAGAUGCUAUAUGCUGAUACGAGUUGCUUGGAGCUUGUAGAUCUGAGCUAUAGCAGCUCACAUGAUGUGUCUUAAUAUUUUUACAGGAAACCUUGAUGAGUUUGAGAAUUGCACACAAUUUGUACAAAAACUACUCAGAUGCCCUUGAAUCCCAUAUCCAAUGACCUCGAAGCUCGUAUCACCGUAGCAUCUAAGAUGAAGGAGGACAUCAUAUUCUCCUAUAUGUAAGAAUAUCAUGUGCUACCACACCUUAGAUGCUUUGGUGAUACAAGCUCUUCGCAGCCGUUGGAUUUGUGACCCAACACCUCCUCGGUGGUUUGAAUAGUUUUUUUGCAGAAAAGCCCCAAAAGAGUUCGGCCACUGCUUACAAGCACAAAGACUGCUCAGAUGCCAUUGAAUCUCAGAUCAAACGACCUCCAAGCUCGUAUCACCGUAGCAUCCAAGCUGCGCUAGCACCUUAUGUUUUCUCGCAUGGGAGAAUAUGAGGUGCUGCCGCACUGUAGAUUCUAUGGUGAUACGAGUUCACUGAGAUCUAACGGCACAUAAUAGGAGGUUUGAAUGUUUUUGCAAUAUACGACUGAUAGAGUUUGGGAAAUGCGCAGAAAGUAUAAGUACUACGCAUGUGCCAUCUGAUCACUGAUCAUACGACCUAGAUGCCCAUAUCACCGUAGCGGGUAAUUAAGCUACGGGAGCACCUAAUAUGAGCAAUGGGGAGCCGUUGGAUCGAAGAUGCAGUGGCACACACGAGGGCUGAAUGCUUUAUUUGCAAAAAAACCUUUGGAGAGUUUGGAAAUUGCGCAUAAUUACAAAGACUACUCCCAAGCCAUUGGAUCUCACUUCCAACGGUGUAAAAAGUCGUAUCAUGAUACUAUCUAAGCUGCGGGGUGGAUGUGAUAUUCUAUGCCGCUGUCAUUGUUGUUCGUAAACUUGCAAAAUACGUGUAACUCGUGCCGUUACUUGUCUAACCGCGCAAAGUGUUUGUUCAAAAAAACCAUCCUACACUGAAAUAUCGAAACAACACACGGGGGUCCCACUUGUCAUUAAUCAAAUUUGGACCUAAAACUAACAAAUCUGAAAGACAAGAUUCGAACUGGCAACCUGGACUACAAAGUGUAAGUCGAUAGCCUGAAACAACAACGGUUGUUGGCUUUGUCCCAUAACUUGAUUUUAUACAGUACUUACGUUGAGUAGAGUAGAGGGAGUGCCUCGUCAACACGUGCAUGACCGUUGUCUCACUUACUAGUGGGUCCCAGGUCUGUGAUCUCAAUCUCUCUUCUCUCCAUCGUGUAACCUUUGCACGGGCACACACGAAGAGCGGAGCUAGCUUGCCGUGGUGUUAUUACAACUAAAGAAAAGCUUGGAAAAUAGAAGAAUCUCCUAGAACAAGAGACGUUGUGGCUGGUUGAGACGGAGCUACCACAUCUAUCCUCCGUCCCACGUUUGCAUGAUGAAGCUGUGUGGCUAGUGGGGUGUUUUCGACCGACUGGCUGGGUCCCGAGGUCGAACCAUAGGUAAUACGUCUGAUACAGUAUAUUUUUACACGCACAUUUUUCCUCUGUGCCGAGACGUGGCACACCCUACCGCGCAGUUUCGGGGUCCUCCCGGGUGGUGCACGCAUAUAUUCUUCCUGACGUGGGACGCCCUACCGCGCGUUUUCUUGGUCCUCCUCAGUCAUAGCACCGAAGCAAGUAAAUGAGUCAUCAAAUCACGAAAGACCACCUUUCUUGUCGAGUACAUCUGUGAAGCACGGUGGCUAGCUAGUUGGGCUAGUUCGACUGAUUAGCUAGGCCGCUGCCACAUUUGUUUUUUCACCCCUUUUUUAUGUACUUGCCGGCAGGUAAAUUUAAAUAUCCACCGCGGCGUUGCCCUGGUGUUUGGGUGCAGCAGGAUUCUUAUUUUUUUGAUUGAUGGGAGCAGGUGCGACAGGAUUUUAAAUUUUUUGAUUGACGGGAGCAGGCGCGGCAGCAAUUAGUCACAAUGACUCUGCUUGUAAAAACCACUGCUCCCUGAUGUGAGAAGUCGUCGACUGGUGUUUAACCGUGGUGAAAACCCCCCGUCCUCAGCUGGCUCCCUCCGCCUUCCCAUAGAUUGCAUUGCCUUUUAGCCGUUUCACCCCCUUUGCUUCCACUUCCCAUUGCUUCUACCUGGUGCCAUGGCAACGCAGCAGAUCACGGAGUCCGAGGUGAGGCGCCUGACACAGGAGCUCCAUGCCAAGGAUGCGGAGCUCAGGGCCAAGGACGUGGAGCUCCGUGAGCUCAAGGAGGAGAGGAGUGCCAUGCUCCUUCGUUAUGUGUGGGAGUUCACGGAGCUUCAAAAGCGGCAGGCGUCCACCACAAAGAUGCUCGAGGCAUCGGCGGCAUUGCUGCAGAAAGCGGGAGAUACGAUAGGCCGUCAGGGGAGCCGGCUGGAGCGUGAGCGGGCCGAUCAUGAUGAGGUCCAGGAUCGCCUCAGCCACUUGGUGAACCAAGUUGCCAUGCACGUGUUGCGGCUGCGUGAUGCCUACCUCGUGCCAGCGCGACGAUGCCGGCCGUCGGGCUAAACCCGUUCGACCACCCGGUCGACUUCAACGAGCUGCGGCUUCCUGACCUGGUCUCCUUCUCCACCUAUAUCUCCGAGGAGCUGAGCCGUCUCCGCGCGAUGGUGGGGGCUGAGCUGGACAAGGAGGGGUUGCGGGCUGCCGUCGCCGUUGCCGAGCAAAUCCUUUCAGGGCUCCAUCACCGGAAUCCAUUUGUGCCAUUGGACGCCGUCUUUGACGAGCCGGCCCUCGUCGACCGGGAGCGGGCUCUGUGGGCGGUUGCACCCUGCAUCACCAACAUCGUGCGCCUCGAGAAGCAGAGGGACUUCAGUGGUGUUUAGGCGCCCUCUGCAUGGGCAUGUCCAUGUCUCGGUGCAACAUGACCGUUGGAUCAAACUCAGACGGUGCAGAUCAGUCACUGUAGCACAAAGCGUGUGGGUGUGUUUGGUUGCAUUCUCAUCUCAAUAUAGUUGUUUCCUCUUCGUGUAUUUUUGUUAACCUACUAGUGUGGACUCAUGCACCCUUUAUGCACUCUGCCAAACACCCUAAAGUGGGUCGAGAAGGGAACUUUUGCUCCCAUCCCGUGCACCCUUCAUACACCCUGCCUAACACUAUUCGUGCUUCAUAUGGAUCAUGUUUUGUGGAGUACUGUAGCACCGUACUCUCCAUGCGCUAUUGACCUACUUCUGUUAACAUUGAUCUCACCGUUCAUUCUCGACCGGACAGUCGAAAAAGCGGUACUAUGUUACAUAUAGGAGUAGUUGACAUGCGCACAACAUCAUUUGUUAUCGUCAUAUCUUACUACACUAGCAACAAGAUUGUGUAGUACUGACGUAUGAACCACUGCACAUGCCUAGUAGUAGGAGCACUGUGUAUGUUCAAGUGGCUGCCGUGUUUCGCACUCCUCCGUUGUAAGAGUGGAAAUGCUUGCUGUAAUCAUUUUUUUCUUCAGAAAAACAGUGGACACACUCUACAGUGCAGAUCCUCCUCCAGCCAUGUACUAAAUUACUCACUUUCGCCGACGUGUGGGACAGCCAGCACCUAGGUCCACCAGCCAUGCACUAAAUUACUCCGUAGUAGAGUGACGGUAGACUACCCUGAUCGAAGCGCCACAGUAAUGCCCAAUGAGCCGUCAAAUCACAAAACCCCCUCCUUUCCAGCAGUAAGUUGGACGGACGAAGCAACCAUCAUUUCACUCUUCUCUCUCAUCUUCCUCUCUUGAAGAAAACCCCCACCCGCUUCGGUUCUCCCUCAUCUCGUUCUUCGUUUCUCUCUUCUCUCUCAGCUUCCUCUCUUGGAUGGACACUAGAGCACUGGCCGACGUGAUGUCUAUGGCUCUGGCCAAAACCGUCGAGGCUCGUGGUACGAAGAAGCGCAAGCACCCCGCCGAGACUACUACAGACAAGCUCAAAGCCAUCGCCCUGUCCUAGCCCCCCUCUCCGGGAUCCCUCAUUAAGCAAGUCCAGGUAAUGUCUCUUGUUGACAAUCUUUUUCUCGAUCUUGAUCGUGCUUUUUCAUCUAACAUGCAGUACUAGUACUGGUAGUACAAUUUUCUGGGUGAUCUUGCAUGUGAUUUUAGUGUGCCAAAUGAAGGUUCUAAAUUCCUCUUUUGACCAAAACAUGCGAGAGGUUGACACUGAUUUCUUAUAGAUUACUUUCAACUACUCGCCCUGUCCCAAAUUUCUUGUCUUAGAUUUUUCUAGAUACGGAUGUAUCUAAUACUAAAAUGUGACUUGAUACAUCCGUAUCUAGAUAAAUCUAAGACAAGAAUUUUGGACAGAUGGAGUACUUUAUGAACAUCAAUGCUACCUUUGAAGAGGGUAUAUUUGCCUCAGUAACUUGUGUUAUGGGUAUUGCAAGUAAUCCCUCUGCUCUCAUGCCUUUGAAGAGAUGUUCUAGUGUCUUUGUUCACUCAUUUCUGUGCGUAUAUGUAGUCAUAUAUGGAGUAUAAUAUCGAAAAUCAUCUUAUAUUUCUGAAUGGAGGUAGUAAUAAAAUAUGGGUUCUGUUUGAAUUAGAACUAGGUCCGCGGUGGAGAUGAAGUUCUCAAAGUCAUGCCGUGUGAUCUGGAAGACCUGAUGAUGAGUUCUACUGCUGAACUAUCCAGCUGCUGUGUCCUUGUUGCCAUGUGUCCUGAACUAGUGUUUUCCUGUAGCUUUGUUCUCAGGCGUGUUCUCGAUGCUGUACUUGACCACAACAAUUUCCUGGCUGUGCCUUCGAUUACGAAGGGUGUGGUUCUUGUAAAGCUUCCCAACAAAUCUGAUGCGGCCUGUCUUCAUCAUCAUGUUUAUGAGUGGAAAGACCACUCUGUUAGGUUCUCCAAGGUUGACAAGAUGGUGAUGGUGCAUGUAGACAUCUCUCACGAAGUCCAUGGCCUAGUCAGUUAUGCGGGGUUCAUCCUGUAGGUCGGUGGCAAGAAAUAGUCUGCAGAGUUCAGUUAGUGCAACUUUGCUUGUCUGUAGUAAGUACUAUUGUUCAGUACUUGAUUUGUGUUUGUGAACCCUAUAUUAUUUAUUAGUACUGCCACUUUUGGUGUGUGGUCAGUCCUGGGUGUUAAUGUCUGUCCACUCAAUUCAGUCUGUAUAUUUUGAAGUAUCCAGAUCAUAUUUUUUGUGAGGACGGUUUAUCAAUUAUGGUUGCACUCCAAUAUCUGUAUGCAUUGCAGGGUUUAUCGCACCCACCAGGAUUUCUAGUCCCAUGGAUGUUCGGUCCAUAUGAUUUGUCACGACCUUUGGACUGUCCUGCUUGUGGGAGCAGGCGGCCCCCCUACAUGCCACCCGUAGUUGGACGAUCAAUCUUCUGUUUAGUACUUCAACAUAGUGAUUUCCUGGUAAGGAUUCACUCAUGCCACAUCAAGUAAAUCUUAUUGAUUUACUGUCUAAAUCUUAUUGAUUUAAUGUCAUGUUUUCUUUCUUUUCCUGCAAUUUUACGAUGCAGGCUUUUCCAUGUGACAUUCAUCACAGAAUAAAAUGUUUGGUUUGCUCUAUGAUGGCUAUUUUUGCAGGUUUCACUUCUUAUGUCGUGUCAGUAACGAAGGCACUGUCCAUCACUUAUAUUACUGGAAAAAAUUGGAUCAGUCUGUUGUCUGAGUACAAGCUGAAUCCCUAUGAUGAACUGCAGUUUGGUUUAACAAAAAUGCCACAAUUAGUCCUUCUCGCGUUUAAAAUAAAUGAAAAAAACUGGAUCACGGUCACGGAUCCUAGUCAAGUUAGAAAGCUGAUCAUAGCAGACCAGACACGAUCGCCGCUGUCUCGCACAUCGAUACCACCUUCAGUAGCGGAUCAAGCAUCGGCAGUUGCUCUAGCACUGACAGCGGCGGUAGCUCAGUCUGAUCCAUGUGAGGAUUGGGCACCGACCGCGUCAGCGGAUCAGUCUAAUCUACCGGAGGAUCGGGCAUCAACGUCGGCACCUGCUCCGACACCGGCACCAACUCUACAAGGAGCACCAUCUCCGGCAGCAGCAGCGGCUUCAACACCUGCACCAACACUUGCACUUUCAUCUGCUCCGGCCCGUGCAGUUGCACCGGCAACAGACUGGGGUGCAGUUCGCACUUCAUAUACCAAAGUCCUUACAAAAACCGACAUGUCCACCUUCUUGGUAAGCAUUGGCCGCCCAAGUGCUUCGUUCUUUUUUCUUUCCAUGUUGUUUCACAUGAUUCACUGUGUUGAUCUAACUGUUUGGGUAUGUCUUCUUGUUUGCAAAUAGAGAGUUCCUAGAGCAACGAGGGAGUCAUUCAACAAUCCGGGCGACCGCGGCCAAGUUUCUCUUACCAUGCGCAGCCUUGGUGUGAAUGAACCUGCUCAAUAUACCGUAAGUACAAAGGAUGAUCGCAUGAUGAUUGAUGCUAAAGGAUGGUCAAGGUUCAAAUCUAAAUCAUAUCUUGCGGUAGGGGAUGAUGUCAAAAUCGAACUUUCUCGGCAAGGAGAGCUGGUCCAAAUCAACUUUGAAAUUCUUCAGUAGCAGCAUGCAACUGCCGAACUGAUCUAUCCUUCGAGAGAUUUUGAUGUAAUAAUCCGGCAUGGUGAAACAAGCGUCCUGUGUGUAUAAGUAGUAUGACAGUAUUAUUUAUCACAUGGUAUAUCGUUGAUAGAAUUGCAACUCUGAUUGCUGGUUAGGAACUGUCAUUCGAUUUCAUUCCAACAGCUGCCGUGCUUUAUUCAAUUUUUUGUAUUCGCCUUGCGAUAGCAUCUAAAACCAGCGCCGUACUGAUCGCUUGCAAUAUGAAAAGCGUUGAGGUAGAACACAUGGCCCCCCAAACAUGCAGGGUGGGCCUGCGGCCCAAAGUCCAGAACCGUGAGCCUGUCUGAGUAUUAUAUUCUCAGCUGAACCCCCAUAAAAAAAGCUGAACCCCCAUAAUGCCCGUGUGUUGCAGAGGGAGUAUAUUUCUCAGCAAGGUGAGCCUGUCUGUGAUAUAAAAGAUUUGUAUAUUUCUUUACAGAGGGAGUAUCUCUCUAUCAAAAAAUAUAUUUAUGUGUAACUAGUUACUCCUGUCUUUCUACUUCCUUUUGCUGAUAUGUGGGGCAACCUGCAACGGGGUCCUCGUGCCAUAUGCACAAAUUAGAGUGCACAACUUCACGGUAGACAUACCCCGGUCGUAGCGCCGCAGUAAUGCCCAAUGAGCCGUCAAAUCACAAACCCCCCUUUCCAGCUUUAGCAGUAAGCUGGACGAACGAAGCGGCAAUAUUUCACUGGGCAUGAAUCCCCCUCUCCCUCGUCUACUUGUUCAGAGAAAACCCCCUCUCGACGACUGCAUAGGGUUUUCUCAUGGAGAACCAGGUACGAAUUCUUCAUCCAUCCCCGAUAAAUCCAAGUCCCUUGGUCGCAGGUAAUCCUAGGAUGGCAGCCGCCGCCGUUGAUGCAUUUUUCUUCCUACUGAAUCUACUGUGUUUCAUUUGCAGUGCCCAAAGUGCGAGUACCCUACAGGUUUCUGUGCCCUCGGUGAGACGCCACACUUGUUCCUUCUCAUCCUAACAUAGGAUUUUGAAACACACACAGUAUGUUCCUAGAAUCCUCUUUUCUAUCUGGGAGGGUGGUUUUUUUUUGAACAUGCUGUCGACUAAUUUGGAAAUUUGGAUUGCUAUAUUUGGAUAAAAGGUACUACUAGUAUAAUGAUCAACACUGACGUGAAGGAGGAAGUUAUUUCUAGAUUUGGAUAGGGAAUACAUUGUGUUCUCAUAUUAUUUUUCCUGCAAUGUAUUAUUUGCUCUGCCAGAACACAUGUACUCAAGAUGCUCGGCCUUGCCAUAACUGAAUACACUAGUUUAAUGGUCACAGUGAAGACAAGCCAUGGAUAUAAGUUCCGAGUUGGGUUCAUAAACCAAGAAGAUCACUGCUUUUUUUAUGGCCGAACUUGGAUAAACUUUCUCAAGUGUUACAGACUGAAAGUUGGCGCACGAAUGUUGAUGGAAAUAGCAGAACCUGGUCUCAUCUUCACUGCGAUCUUCCACCCCGAUGUCGUUCCAAUUGUUCAUCCAUGUUAGCUCUGUAUCUGGUUCUUGCUUGUUGCCUCGAUUAGUUCUUAAUCCACCUAUUCUGUCUAACUAAUCACAAUUUAACUUUAGAAGUAGCAACGAAUCUCUCACAAAGAUGCUACUUCUAACUAAUAUUUUCUUAUAAUUAGUGGCACGUGUAGGUUUUUUUAGAGUUAAGCAGGCUGCUCAUUCGUUAUUCUGUAAUAAUUCGGCUGUUACUGAUGGCACUGAAGUUGACUGGGUCGACAUCCACAAGUUCCUACCAUUUAUUGAUCGUCUUGAGGUCCUUGUGGGGCGUUUCAAUGGUGGAAGGCCACGUGGGAUAUUUGUGCCACUGCUGCACUCGUUGAACAGGUCCAACUGUGUCGAGAAACUUAUGGUACGAGCUGUUUUCUGUUAUAUAUGUUGUUCAUAAACUAUUGCUUAUACACAAUUUUACAGCUGUGAUCUUCUUGAAACAGAAACUGCCCAGUUCUAUUGUUCCUAUACAGAUGCCUUACCAUGGUCGGGUCAGACUUGCGCUUGGUCACGACAUGAUGUUUAUGUCGACCUACUCAAUUCCCCUUGGAGGUGAAAAGAUACUUAUUCAUGGGUGGUCUCAAAUAAUGAAGGCCCGUCCACCUUGGAGAAUAGGACAGAAGAUUAUGUUGAUGCUUUUCCAUGGCUCUAAAGCGAAUAUCCUGUUUAUUGACCACAUUGCGAGAUGAAGCCGCUUUCAGAAGGUUGUAGAUGCGCGGGGUGGCACCUGGGCCUUGUCCUGGGGCUUGGCGGCCUCACCCUUGGUUAACUGUAGGCAAAGUAGCACUGUUUGAGGCGUGCUUUGUACAGUUGAACCUAUAUAAGUACUCAUACUGCUUUCAGCUUUGGUUGUUAAGUGCCCCUGCUGGUUUCAGUUAAGGUUGUUAAGUACUCCUGCUGCUUUUACAGUCUGUCGUGUUUCUUCAGUCCUGUCUUCCUCUAGCCGCCAAAACCAAACUAGCGCCGGCGGGGCCGCCUGCUUCCGCCUCCCACGGCUGACUGCGCCUCAGCGCACGCAUCGCCGCCCCACCGUCUCCUAAAUCGUUAACGCCAACGUCCUCCGCGCGCUUUGGUGCGCUCGCCGUGGCGCUGCCCUCUCGCGUUGUCAACAUGGUCAACAAACAACAGGAAUCGACAGAAGUACAUGGAGAGGAUGACAGUAGGGGCCCACCACGUCAGUGUAUGGAAAAAUAAAAUGCUUCCUCCUAGUGUUUUCCUGACAUCUGGGACCCACGACAUUGUGAGCGUAUAUAGUCAAUAGACAAGAGAACAUCACAAGAUCUGCUGACACCUGGGACGUAGCUUCUCGAGCAAUAUUUUUUUUGUUAUUGUUGAGAUGGAGCAGGGUUUGAACUGGGCUGUGGCCCAUCUAGCCCAGGCUUAUAUUUUAUGCUCACCAUGUGACCAGCCCAGCUAUUUUUUCUUUGUGAAAAUGAGCCUAGUUUAUUUUUUCUGAAGAAUACCCAAUCCAGGCCUACUUAUUUUUCUACGCCCUGAUGGGCUGCAACUCUUUCAAGACGCCUGCAAAUCUUGAAAGUAAUAUGAAAUGGGUUGUAAAUAGAAAAACAGAUGACAAAUUGGCAAUUACUUUAUAAUUUCUUUAUUUUUUCACAUUUUCAGAUUCCUAUUUCACUGGGCAUUAACCUAAUUUAAAUAUAUCUUCAAAGUACUUUAAAUCUAGCUCGACAUUUCGGUAUUAAAAAUAGUUUGGAACCCACAGAAAUAUGCAAAAUUGGCCCUGGCCAACCAAAAAAAAAUGACUGCAAUAAAUUGCAUAAGAAGUUGCCAUGAGCUAUAUAUAAAUUAUUAAAAA
rnacentral:lncRNA from 1 species